rnacentral:rRNA from 1 species
GAUUCAGUAGCUUGCUACUGAUGAGAGUGGCGCACGGGUGAGUAACGCGUAUGCAACCUACCUCUUACAGGGGGAUAGCCCGGAGAAAUCCGGAUUAAUAUCCCAUGGUAUUUAUUGUCCGCAUGGAUAGUAAAUUAAAGAUUUAUCGGUAAGAGAUGGGCAUGCGUGACAUUAGUUUGUUGGUGAGGUAACGGCUCACCAAGACUACGAUGUCUAGGGGUUCUGAGAGGAUGAUCCCCCACACUGGUACUGAGACACGGACCAGACUCCUACGGGAGGCAGCAGUGAGGAAUAUUGGUCAAUGGGCGCAAGCCUGAACCAGCCAUCCCGCGUGAAGGAAGACGGCCCUAUGGGUUGUAAACUUCUUUUCUGCACCAAGAAUGGGCCUUACGUGUAAGGUUUUGACGGUAGUGCAGGAAUAAGCAUCGGCUAACUCCGUGCCAGCAGCCGCGGUAAUACGGAGGAUGCAAGCGUUAUCCGGAUUCAUUGGGUUUAAAGGGUACGUAGGUGGCCCAGUAAGUCAGUGGUGAAAUCCUGCCGCUUAACGGUAGAACUGCCAUUGAUACUGCUGGGCUUGAGUACAGUUGAGGUAGGCGGAAUGUGUAGUGUAGCGGUGAAAUGCUUAGAUAUUACACAGAACCCCGAUUGCGAAGGCAGCUUACUAAACUGUAACUGACACUGAGGUACGAAAGCGUGGGGAGCGAACAGGAUUAGAUACCCUGGUAGUCCACGCCGUAAACGAUGCUCACUCGCUGUAUGCGAUACACAGUAUGCGGCCAAGCGAAAGUAUUAAGUGAGCCACCUGGGGAGUACGUUGGCAACAGUGAAACUCAAAGGAAUUGACGGGGGCCCGCACAAGCGGAGGAACAUGUGGUUUAAUUCGAUGAUACGCGAGGAACCUUACCUGGGCUUAAAUGCAGGACGACAGGCGUCG